CUGAGCUUGGCAACAAAGAGGGAGAGAGCAGGCCCCGGAGAGGGAGGAAGAGGACUGCGGGGAGAGCAGCCCACUGAGAAAGCCCAGGACUUGAAAUUCCACCCACACGGGCUUUUGGUUUUGUGUUUUUCUUAGGAGGGCCUGCAUUUUCAUCUUGCUCCGGCCCUGCUAAUCCUGACUUUGGCUGCUGGUUAAUAAUGCUGCAGAGUGAGAAGGGAGGAAGAUGUGAGGAAAACAGUGCAAUCCACAUGGGUGCAUUGGUGCAUGCCUGUCGUCCCCGCAACUCCGGAGGCUGAGAAGGGAGGAUUGCAGCAACUUAGUGAGACUGUCUCAAAGUAAAAUAAAAAGGACUGGGGGUAUAGCUCGGUGGUGGAGCACUGGCAUAGCAUGUGUGAGGUGCUGGGAAAAAAAUCCUCAGCACUGGAGGGGGAAAACGAAAAAAAAAAAGGAAGAAAGAAAAAGAAAAACAGUGUAAUCCUGAGGCUUGGAGGAUGGAAUGUUCUGCUUUGCCCCGGCUCCACCAAGAAACACCCGCGCACCAUCCCACAGGCAGGUGUUCAGAGCAGUAGAUCUGUGCAUACCAGGCACUCGGCAAAGGCCAGUGUCCUUGACUGUCUUUUGACAUGAGGGCUUAGACAGUUUCACUACUUUUACCCUGAAUGUAUUUACCUCUUAUCAUUAUAAAAGUAACACACACUGCUAUAGAAUGUUUGGAAAAAGAAAAAGAAAGGAGAAGUUUCCACCAUGUCCUUUACUCCAAAGCCUGCAGACAGUGAGGCCAGUGCGCUUCUGUACAGUCCUAGAAAUAUAGGGAGGUUGACCAAGGACCACAGGGGAGCAAGGCCCCGCCUGCUGUGUGCUGCCCAGCACGGUGGCUGCAGAUGACCUCUGUGCACUGUAUGUUCCAGAAAGCUGCAAAAAAAGGGGUUUGUUUUCAUCAUAAAGACAUGACAAAUGUUUGAGGAGAUAAACAUGCUUAAUUUGAAUUAAAUACUAUACUAUGUAUACAUUAUAGAAAUAGCAUAUGGUGCUCCAUAAAUAUGUACAAUUUUUAUCUAUCAGUUAAAAAUAAAUUUAACCUUAAAAAAUAAAUUUAAAUUCAAAUUAAACUCAA